rfam:Loxodonta africana unplaced genomic scaffold scaffold_4, whole genome shotgun sequence.
CUGGUGGCUUAAUGGUUAAGCACUCAGCUGCUAACUGAAAGGUUGGCGGUUUGAAUCCAGCCUAG